UACUACCAAAAAUCGCUUUCA
ensembl:piRNA 21ur-972 ncRNA